rnacentral:rRNA from 1 species
UACGUAGGGUGCGAGCGUUAAUCGGAUUUACUGGGCGUAAAGCAUGCGCAGGCGGCGGUUCAAGUCAGGUGUGAAAUCCCCGAGCUUAACUUGGGAAUUGCGCUUGAAACUAGAUCGCUAGAGUACGGCAGAGGGGGGUAGAAUUCCACGUGUAGCAGUGAAAUGCGUAGAUAUGUGGAGGAAUACCGAUGGCGAAGGCAGCCCCCUGGGAUAACACUGACGCUCAUGCACGAAAGCGUGGGGAGCAAACAGG